rnacentral:misc_RNA from 1 species
CCCAAACGCUUUCUGUUGAGGAAAGACACAAGGGUAGUUAUGGAAAGUGCGCAAUAUAGUAACUGGUUGUCUCACAUCCAUGUUUGGCUUUGAACACGUCAAAGGAAGGAGUAAAAUUACACAAACACCGGUCUACGUGAGAGGAAAACAAAAACACAACAUGACUGAAAUAUAGAUCUCGAUGUUUCGAUGUUCGGUUCUUUUUAAGCUCGUUUUUCCUUCAUGUAGAUGACACGGAUAUCCUGUACGGGGAGAUAGCCAUCAAUCCAAAGGGGAGGUAACCACCAGUCAACAUGGUGUCCCGGAGUCUGCGGCGUAACGGGACGAACGUGUUGUUGUUUGCGUAUCUGUGCCUGUGGCUGUUUGCGUUGUUCAAUUACAAGAGUCACUGCAUCUUCACCAUGCCCGACACAUUGCUCCGGAUGUCCCAGAUCGGGGGCAGCGACGAGGGCAAGUGUAAAGUCCACUUUGACGAACUAGAGAUUGCCAAAGUGGAUAUCUUUGACGAGCCGGCAGUUGAAGACAUCGUGGCCAGGAAUCCCACUGUGCAGAAAGGUGGGCGGUGGAAGCCGGAGGGAUGCUCGUCCUGGCAGAAGGUUGCCAUCAUCAUCCCGUACCGAGACCGCUGGCAGCACCUGAAGAAGCUGCUGCACCGACUCCACCCAAUGCUGAGGAGGCAACAGAUACACUACCAGGUCUUCGUCAUCGAACAGAGAGGAAGUGACAAGUUCAACCGUGGCAAAUUGAUGAACGUUGGUUUCAUGGAGGCGAUGGCGUAUGACAAGUUUGACUGUUUUGUGCUGCAUGACGUGGAUCUGAUCCCGGAACAUGACAAGAACUACUACAUGUGCGACCAGCAUGCCCGUCAUCUCGCCUCCGCCAUUGAUGAGAUGCGAUACCACGUCAUGUACUACUACUACGCUGGGGGAGUGAUCGCCCUCAACCGGGAGAACUUCAAGAGGAUCAAUGGCUACAGCAACUCCUACUGGGGCUGGGGCAAUGAGGACGAUGACCUUUCAGCAAGGAUCCAGGAAUCAGGGCUGCUGCUCACUCGGCCGCCAGAACACAUCGGCAGAUUCAAGAUGGUCCGUCAUCACAAGGCAUCCCGGGCAGAGAAUGGAAAUCAAAGAUUUUUUGGCUGGCGAGCCCGAUGGCCAAAGGAUGGUCUAAAUGACCCUGUAGGGAUGAACUACACGGUGAUGAAGACGGCGGUGGAGCACCUCUACACCAACAUCACCGUGGACAUUGGCUACCCACCGCCCGAUCUACAGACCAGGUUCGAGUCUGGACCCAAGGAAACAUUACUGUGGUUUUUGAAGUUCUACUACCCCUGAGAAGUAAAUAUGAAGAUACAUCUGUCACUGCAGGUUUUUGAAGUUCUACUACCCCUGAGAAGUAAAUAUGAAGAUACAUCUGUCACUGCAGGUUUUUGAAGUUCUACUAUCCCUGAAGAGUAAAUAUGAAGAUACAUCUGUCACUGCAGUUUUUGAAGUUCUACUACCCCUGAGAAGAUAAUAUGAAGAUACAUCUGUCACUGCAGGUUUUUGAAGUUCUACUUCCCCUGAGAAGUAAAUAUGAAAAUACAUCUGUCACUGCAGGUUUCUGAAGUUCUACUACCCCUGAUAAGUAAAUAUGAAGAUACAUCUGUCACUGCAGGUUUCUGAAGUUCUACUACCCCUGAGAAGUGAAUAUGAAGAUACAUCUGUCACCGCAGGAUUUUGAAGUUCUACUACCCCUGAGAAGUAAAUAUGAAGACACAUCUGUCACUGCAGGUUUUGAAGUUCUACUACCCCUGAGAAGUAAAUAUGAAGAUACAUCUGUCACUGCAGGUUUUUGAAGUUCUACUACCACUGAGAAGUAAAUAUGAAGAUACAUCUGUCACUGCAGGUUUUUGAAGUUCUAUUACCACUGAGAAGUAAAUAUGAAGAUACAUCUGUCACUGCAGGUUUUUGAAGUUCUACUACCACUGAGAAGUAAAUAUGAAGAUACAUCUGUCACUGCAGGUUUUUGAAGUUCUACUACCACUGAGAAGUAAAUAUGAAGAUACAUCUGUCACUGCAGGUUUUUGAAGUUCUACUACCACUGAGAAGUAAAUAUGAAGAUACAUCUGUCACUGCAGGUUUUUGAAGUUCUACUACCACUGAGAAGUAAAUAUGAAGAUACAUCUGUCACUGCAGGUUUUUGAAGUUCUACUACCACUGAGAAGUAAAUAUGAAGAUACAUCUGUCACUGCAGGUUUUUGAAGUUCUACUACCACUGAGAAGUAAAUAUGAAGAUACAUCUGGAGGGUAUCUAGCACCUAGAUGACCCCUAAACGAGGACAGAGAACAGACUGGGAGGGGAUUGGGAGUGGGUGGGAGUGUUUUUUGGGGAGGAGGUGAGGGGGGGAAGCUUCAGGUGACAUGGAAGACUUGAGACUGAUAUCAGUUUUUGUUUCUCUGGGCUGAGAGGAGUUAUUUUGUAGGAGACAUAUCUGAGGGGGUUGAGGAUAAAGAACACAUUGCUGCCAUGUGCAUGUUGUGGAACAGAGUUAGUUUGAACUGCUACCAACAUUCCAGUGUAGAUGUGGUGGAUAUAGAGGGGUUGCAGGUGCGGUGGCAAUCUGAUUGGUUAGAAUGUUACACUAGAUGGCAAUCUGAUUGGUUAGAAUGUAACCCUAGAUGGCAAUCAGAUUGGUUAGAAUCUUACACUAGAUGGCAAUCUGAUUGGUUAGAAUGUAACCCUAGAUGGCAAUCAGAUUGGUUAGAAUCUAACACUAGAUGGCAACCUGAUUGGUUAGAAAUCUAGCCCUUGAAUACUAUUUCAUUGGUUAGAAUCUAACCCUGGAUGGCAAUCUGAUUGGUCAGAAUCUAUCCCUGGAUGGCAAUGCGAUUGGUUAGAACAUAUAUGUGUUUCAGCUUCCCAGAGUUUAGGAGACGCUGACCUUGAUGUUGGAUACAGUUUUUCAGACAACUGUCAUUAAAUUGCUUCUAUAGUGAAUGGCGGUCAGUAUUUUUGUACAAUUGUGGCUAAUAUAUCAUUUAAAGAUAUUUUCAUGCUUCAAAACUGAAAGUCAAGCCAGACCAAUUUCUAUGUCAAUACUUGAAGGUGAAGGAUGCAUGGUGCGACAUGGAGUGCUUCACUUACUGACAUGUCCAUGACCUAGCAUUCACAAUGCUAGAUUGAAUGACUGUUGAUUAUACUAGUGUUACACCGGAACCAUGUAGAACAUGUAGGAGUUCCAUAUGAGCUCAAAAUCACAAACAAGAAGAAAAAUAUAUUCAGUCCUCAGUUGAUGCCCUGACACUACUGCCAGGUUUUACCAGCUCUUGGUGUGAACCUUACUCCAGGGUGUCGUACCAAAUGAUGUCAGCACUAAAGUGAUCUUAGCGCUAAGGUGAUCAUAACUCCCAUACCUUAACAUAGACUUAUGACUGUCGUAGCGCUAAGGUUGUUUUGUAGGACUUUCUACACAUGACUGAUGUGUGUGUCAAGUGAAAACAACAACAAAAACUGUGAUAAGUCUUUGAUGUAUAUCAUUGUCAUUAGGUACCAGUGCAGGUGUUGAUGUGCACAAUUGUCAUUAGGAGUCAAUACAGCUGUUGAUGUACACAAUUGUCAUCAGGAGUCAAUACAGGUGUUGAUGUACACAAUUGUCAUCAGGUGUCAAUACAGGUGUUGAUGUGUAUAAAUGUCAUCAAGUGUCAAUACAGGUGUUCAUGUGUACAAUUGUCAUCAAGUGUCAAUACAGGUGUUGAUGUGUACAAUUGUCAUCAGGUGUCAAUACAGGUGUUGAUGUGUACAAUUGUCAUCAGGUGUCAAUACAGGUGUUGCUGUGUACAAUUGUCAUCAGGUGUCAAUACAGGUGUUGCUGUGUACAAUUGUCAUCAAGUGUCAAUACAGGUGUUGCUGUGUACAAUUGUCAUCAGGAGUCAAUACAGGUGUUGAUGUGUACAAUUGUCAUCAAGUGUCAAUACAGGUGUUGAUGUGUAUAAAUGUCAUCAAGUGUCAAUACAGGUGUUGAUGUGUAUAAAUGUCAUCAAGUGUCAAUACAGGUGUUGAUGUGUACAAUUGUCAUCAAGUGUCAAUACAGGUGUUGAUGUGUAUAAAUGUCAUCAAGUGUCAAUACAGGUGUUGAUGUGUAUAAAUGUCAUCAGAUUUCAUAGCAUGCAUGGGUAUUGUUACAGCUGAAUGAAUGAAUAUGAGCAGUGUUUUUGUGCCCGUUUAUUCAUCUUCCCGACAAGGAAGUUAACUGACUUUAAAAGUCAUGUUUUCGACCUUGCCGAACUAGGCUAGAUUUCCGUGGCUCAAUCGUAGUGUCACAAGUGGCAAUAACGAGUUAUGUCCGUCCUAUUGACAAAUCAGAUUCCAUCUAUCCUAUUACUUGCGUUUGAUUCAAACAAAAUGGCGGUGCCCAGUCAAGGUCUGAUCGAUAAUAAAGAUCUAUGUUGUUAUAAAACGUGUCUUACCUCGCAAAAUGCAUCAAAUUACAAGAGCACCUUGAUUUAAAACAUAAAAAGGUUUGGAAAAUAUCUUUGGACGUUCAGUGGACAGAUACAAAUGCUUUGCAAAUCUUGCAAUUGACCUAAAUCUGCACGGAAGUUUACGAACCAGAUGUUUAUUUCGUUACAUGAUUUUGAUUGGACUAUGUAUAGGCUUGUUACCUAGUUUGGCAUGUGUAGAGACUGGACUUUUAUAGUCAGUUAACUCCCUCGCGUCAGGAAGAUGCCAUUUAUUUGGUUAAUAUAUAUAUUUAUAAGACCUUGUUAGAUACUUUGUUUACAAAACGAGUGGACUUUCAUAAAACUGACAGUUUAGAAAUGCUUCAUCAGUCAACUUUUUGAAAAUUAAAUGUGGUGCAAAAUCAAAAUGAAGCCUCUUGCAAGUCUAUCUUUAUAGAUUGACCUGGUUACUGCUGUUUUCUUAUGCUGAAGCAAUGUACAGAGGUAGACUUGAGAGAGUUGCCUUCUUGUAGCACAGUGAUAUAUGUGUGUGUGACAUGAGGACUUUUAUGUGGAUGAUUGUGGCAAUAAAGAUUUAUCUUCAAA